GGCGAUGAAGAAUUAUAUUUUAUAGAAUUCUAUUGGUGUUAAGUGGUGUUUAGGCUGCUUGUUACAAUAGAGUAGCAUUUAUUAGCAUUUAGCAUUAGUCUUUAACUCUGACUGACACAGAUAAAUACCGUGGUCUUUAUCUUUAUCUGUGGGCCUCUAGAACGGUGGCCUGUGGUUCUGCCGGGUUUAUGGAGAGACUCUCCAUUCCUAAUUCCUAAUUCGUUUUUUUUUUUUAAACAAUAUUAGUGCCCUGGAAACACCUUCGAUUGGCCAAUAACUAACUAACAACUGAGGCAUUUCAGCUUGAGGAGAAGAUGGCAGUUAAGAAGACGGCGGUGAUUUAAGUCGUACUGAACGAAUCUCCAGGAUAUUGAAGCCCUCGUCUCGUCAAAUUCAAUUCUUUGCUGCUAUCUAUUUAGUGGAAACGUUACGUGAUCUCAGGAGUGAAUCAAUUGACAACUGCUAGAUAAAAAAACUUUAUGUGCCAAACAAAUAACGCUGUAUAUGUUAUUAUUGCGGAUGAGAAAGCAACAGGCUCUCCCUGUGCGGUCUCAUAACAGCCACGUAAUAUUUCUAGCUGUUUGAUGUUGCAAACCUGCAAUUAGCGGGAUCAUACUUUAAAUUCGCCCACAAAAAGGAACCCAAUGGAUUUGGUGGAUUGUUUCCUUUUUCAUAUGUGUUAU